rnacentral:rRNA from 1 species
UACGGAGGAUGCGAGCGUUAUCCGGAUUUAUUGGGUUUAAAGGGUGCGUAGGCGGACUGUCAAGUCAGCGGUAAAAUUGAGAGGCUCAACCUCUUCCCGGCGUUGAAACUGGUGGUCUUGAGUGGAUGAGAAGUACGCGGAAUGCGUGGUGUGGCGGUGAAAUGCAUAGAUAUCACGCAGAACUCCGAUUGCGAAGGCAGCGUACCGGCAUCCAACUGACGCUGAGGCACGAAAGCGUGGGGAUCAAACAGG